UUUGUCGUGGACUAGAGGAAAGGGUGAUUGACUGGAGAUCAAAAGGUCUCCGGUUCGAUCCCCAGCUCCACUG